rnacentral:rRNA from 1 species
UCGGGAAUUUUGGGCAAUGGGCGAAAGCCUGACCCAGCAACGCCGCGUGAAGGAUGAAGUAUUUCGGUAUGUAAACUUCGUAAGAAUAGGAAGAAUAAAUGACGGUACUAUUUGUAAGGUCCGGCUAACUACGUGCCAGCAGCCGCGGUAAUACGUAGGGACCAAGCGUUGUUCGGAUUUACUGGGCGUAAAGGGCGCGUAGGCGGCGUGGUAAGUCAUCUGUGAAAUCUCCGAGCUUAACUCGGAACGGUCAGAUGAUACUGCUGUGCUAGAGUACAGAAAGGGCAAUCGGAAUUCUUGGUGUAGCGGUGAAAUGCGUAGAUAUCAAGAGGAACACCUGAGGCGAAGGCGGGUUGCUAGGCUGAUACUGACGCUGAGGCGCGAAAGCUAGGGUAGCAAACGGGAUUAGAUACCCUUGUAGUCCCUGAGCGGGCUGGCAAGGCGCAU